rnacentral:snRNA from 1 species
AUGCUCACUUCAGCAGCACAUAGACUAAAAUUGGAAGGAUUCAGAGAAGAUUAGCAUGGCUCCUCUGUAAGGAUGACACACAAGUUCAGGAAGCAUUCCAUAUUUUC